rnacentral:tRNA from 1 species
GCCGCCGUAGCUCAGCCCGGUAGAGCGCCGGCCUCGUAAGCCGGUGGUCGCGGGUUCGAAUCCCGCCGGCGGCUCCA